rnacentral:rRNA from 1 species
AUGUCGAAGGCAGCCCCCUGGGUUAGUACUGACGCUCAUGCACGAAAGCGUGGGGAGCAAACAGGAUUAGAUACCCUGGUAGUCCACGCCCUAAACGAUGUCAAAUAGGUGUUGGAAGGGUUAAACCUUUUAGUACCGCAGCUAACGCGUGAAGUUGACCGCCUGGGGAGUACUUUUUUUUCGAGAGGGUUAAAACUCAAAGGUAAUUGAAAUAAUCUUGAGUCCCUU